CAUGCAAGUCGAACGGCAGCACAGCAGUAGCAAUACUGUGGGUGGCGAGUGGCGGACGGGUGAGGAAUACAUCGGAAUCUACCUUGUCGUGGGGGAUAACGUAGGGAAACUUACGCUAAUACCGCAUACGACCUUCGGGUGAAAGUGGGGGACCGCAAGGCCUCACGCGAUUAGAUGAGCCGAUGUCGGAUUAGCUAGUUGGCGGGGUAAUGGCCCACCAAGGCGACGAUCCGUAGCUGGUCUGAGAGGAUGAUCAGCCACACUGGAACUGAGACACGGUCCAGACUCCUACGGGAGGCAGCAGUGGGGAAUAUUGGACAAUGGGCGCAAGCCUGAUCCAGCCAUACCGCGUGGGUGAAGAAGGCCUUCGGGUUGUAAAGCCCUUUUGUUGGGAAAGAAAUCCUAUCGAUUAAUACUCGGUGGGGAUGACGGUACCCAAAGAAUAAGCACCGGCUAACUUCGUGCCAGCAGCCGCGGUAAUACGAAGGGUGCAAGCGUUACUCGGAAUUACUGGGCGUAAAGCGUGCGUAGGUGGUUGUUUAAGUCUGUUGUGAAAGCCCUGGGCUCAACCUGGGAAUUGCAGUGGAUACUGGGCGACUAGAGUGUGGUAGAGGAUAGUGGAAUUUCCGGUGUAGCAGUGAAAUGCGUAGAGAUCGGAAGGAACAUCUGUGGCGAANGCGACUAUCUGGGCCAACACUGACACUG
rnacentral:rRNA from 1 species